CCCAGAGAAACCCUCCUGAUUAAUGUGCCCAGGGCCCAUUAGCUAAUGGAAGAGCCGCAUCCCCACUUCUCAGACAAAUGCGUAACCCAAGUAAUGGACUCAGCCACCUGGAUGAGAAGGGAACCAGCUACAUACCAUAACUGAAAUCAGACAGUCUUGCCGCUGACUAGGAAAACUUACAGGAAGCC
rnacentral:lncRNA from 1 species